rnacentral:rRNA from 1 species
AUGGGCACAAGCACAUAUCUGUUGGACAAAGAGCCUCUACCCCUCAGGCCAGAUUUUGAGGAAAAUACUGUUGUUAUGGAUGAUAAAGACCAUUCCUCAGUGCAAGCACAUGAGAAGAGAGAGAAGGCAAGGGCAAACAAAGCUGCAAGGAUGCCAACAGCUGAAGAGGCAUCUCAGGUGUACUUGAAGAGCAAGAAAGAUCAGCUUGGAUAUCUGAUCCAAUCCACCUUGAGGAUUGAGAAGGGCUUGGCCACCCUGACUCAAAACCAGGAGAGCUUGGAGAGGAUCAUUGAGCAGAAAUUCUAUGAUCUUGAUGUCAAGGUAACUGAAUUCAGUCAGUGGAUGAGCAACUUCAGGAGGAAGUGGAUGAGAAGAAGGGCAAGUCUACUACAGAUGCUUUCACUAGAGUGCCCAGGAGUCAGAGGUCUGCUAUAG